GGGCCUAUCGUAAAGUGGUAUUACGCGGCAUUCGCAUUGCCGAAUCCCGGGUUCGAUUCCCGGUAGGUCCA
rnacentral:tRNA from 1 species